rnacentral:misc_RNA from 1 species
UUCCGUAGGUGAACCUGCGGAAGGAUCAUUAAAAAAUGUGGUACCAAUUAUUGGUACUAAUUAAUCACCCUACCCUUUGUGAAUUUGUUUGUAUGAAUUUUUUAAAUGGGUCUUUCCCUAAGUUGGAUUGUUAGUAAAAUACAAAAAGACUUAGGGGAAUGACUUUUUUAAAAGACUUUUUUUUAAUUAAAACUUUUUGUAUUCAUUUGUCUAAAAUUUAUUUUAUAAUAUAAAAACAACUUUUGACAAUGGAUCUCUUGGUUCUCGCAACGAUGAGAACGCAGCAAAAUGCGAUAAGUAGUGUGAAUUGCAGAAUACGUGAAUCAUCGAAUCUUCGAACGCAUAUUGCACUUUUUAGUUUACUAAAAAAGUAUGUCUGUUUGAGUAUCAGUAAAAUAUUCUCACAAACAUAUAUUGUUUGUGGUAAUGAGUGUUUUACAACGAUAAACAAGUUGUUCACUUUAAAUUCUUUUGUAAGUUUUUACUACAAUUUACAAAUUUAAAUUGGAUAAAAUUUUCCUUUAACGAGGAAUAACCUAAACAAUUUUAAAUUUUUUGGUUUGUAAAAUCCAUAAGGAUCUAUACAUAAAUAACUUGAUCUCAAAUCAGAUAAGAGUACCCGCUGAACUUAAGCAUAUCAAUAAGCGGAGGAAAAGAAACUAACAAGGAUUCCCUUAGUAACGGCGAGUGAAGCGGGAAGAGCUCAAAUUUGAAAUCUUCAAGGUUGACCUUGACGAAUUGUAGUUUAUAGAAGUGUUUUCUGUUGGAGUUUUGGUAAAAGUUCUUUGGAAUAGGACAUCAUAGAGGGUGAGAAUCCGUAUUUGACCAUGACUUUCAGCUGUGUGAUACACUUUCAAAGAGUCGGAUUGUUUGGGAAUGCAGUCCAAAAUGGGUGGUAAAUUUCAUCUAAAGCUAAACAUUGGCGAGAGACCGAUAGCGAACAAGUACCGUGAGGGAAAGAUGAAAAGAACUUUGAAAAGAGAGUUAAACAGUACGUGAAAUUGUCAAAAGGGAAGCGUUUGACACCAGUGUUGUUUUCUCGAAAAUCAAUUUAAUGAGUUCUUGUUUUUAAGUUAUUGUGACUUUAUCAGCGCAUUUCUUAUUUUACUUGACUCAUUGAAUGCACUUUUCGUUUAACAAGUCAACAUCAAUUUCUUUGGUGGUAAAAAGUUUAAAGGAAGGUGGCUUGGACUUCGGUUCAAGUGUUAUAGCCUUUUUUCUAUGCCAUCGGAGAGAUUGAGGUCUGCAGCGUAGAUCCUUCGGGUUAGAUACCUUUGUGCUAAGUUAUAGUUUUUAUAGACAACUUGUUGACUAUAAUUAACCCUGUAAUUUACUCGCUUAGGCUAUUUUACCUACGCUUAGGAUG